GACGAACGCUGGCGGCGUGCUUAACACAUGCAAGUCGAACGGAAAGGCCCUGCUUUUGUGGGGUGCUCGAGUGGCGAACGGGUGAGUAACACGUGAGUAACCUGCCCUUGACUUUGGGAUAACUUCAGGAAACUGGGGCUAAUACCGGAUAGGAGCUCCUGCUGCAUGGUGGGGGUUGGAAAGUUUCGGCGGUUGGGGAUGGACUCGCGGCUUAUCAGCUUGUUGGUGGGGUAGUGGCUUACCAAGGCUUUGACGGGUAGCCGGCCUGAGAGGGGGACCGGCCACAUUGGGACUGAGAUACGGCCCAGACUCCUACGGGAGGCAGAAGUGGGGAAUAUUGCACAAUGGGCGGAAGCCUGAUGCAGCAACGCCGCGUGCGGGAUGACGGCCUUCGGGUUGUAAACCGCUUUCGCCUGUGACGAAGCGUGAGUGACGGUAAUGGGUAAAGAAGCACCGGCUAACUACGUG
rnacentral:rRNA from 1 species